ACGGGUGAGUAACACGUAUCCAACCUGCCGUCUACUCUUGGCCAGCCUUCUGAAAGGAAGAUUAAUACAAGAUGGCAUCAUGAGUCCGCAUGUUCACAUGAUUAAAGGUAUUCCGGUAGACGAUAGGGAUGCGUUCCAUUAGAUAGUAGGCGGGGUAACGGCCCACCUAGUCUUCGAUGGAUAGGGGUUCUGAGAGGAAGGUCCCCCACAUUGGAACUGAGACACGGUCCAA
rnacentral:rRNA from 1 species